rnacentral:tRNA from 1 species
GGGGUUGUGGCUCAGUGGUAGAGUGCUCAUCUGUCAUAUGUGAGGCCCUGGGUUCGAUCCUCAGCACUACA